UAAGGAAUAUUGCUCAAUGGGAGAAAUCCUGAAGCAGCAACGCCGCGUGGAGGAUGAAGGGUCUAUGACUUGUAAACUCCUGUAAAGAAGGAAAAAAUUCCCAUUAGAUGGGAGAUGAUGGUACUUCUGGAGUAAGCCCCGGCUAACUACGUGCCAGCAGCCGCGGUAAUACGUAGGGGGCAAGCGUUGUCCGGAUUUACUGGGUGUAAAGGGUGCUCAGGCGGAUUUGUAAGUCAGAGGUGAAAUCUUACAGCUUAACUGUGAAACUGCCUUUGAUACUGCAAGCCUAGAGUAUGGAAGAGAGUGAUGGAAGAUCUGGUGUAGCAGUGAAAUGCGUAGAUAUCAGAUAGAACACCAAUGGCGAAGGCAGUCACUUGGUCCAUUACUGACGCUAGAGCACGAAAGCGUGGGUAGCAAACA
rnacentral:rRNA from 1 species